ACGGCUCAGUAACACGUCGAUAACGUGCCGUGGAGCUCGGGAUAAUCUUGGGAAACUGAGGAUAAUACCGAAUAGGGAAUGGGGUGUGGAAUCCUCCCAUUCUGGAAAGCUUCGGCGCUUCACGAUCGGUCGGCGGCCCAUCAGGUCGUUGGUGAGGUAAUGGCUCACCAAGCCUAAGACGGGUAGGGGCCAUGAGAGUGGGUGCCCCGAGAAGGACACUGAGAUACUGGUCCUAGCCCUAAGGGGUGCAGCAGUCGCGAAACCUCCGCAAUGCACGAAAGUGUGACGGGGGGAUUCUGAGUGCUCACGGAUAUCCGUGGGCUUUUCACAAGGGUAAAUACCUUGUGGAAUAAGUGGUGGGCAAGACUGGUGCCAGCCGCCGCGGUAACCCCAGCGCCACAAGUGGGAACCAUGUUUAUUGGGUCUAAAGCAUCCGUAGCCGGUUCGGCAAAUGCCUUGUGAAAUCGUUGCGCUCAACGCAACGGCGUGCAAGGUAGACUACCGAACUAGGGACCAGGAGAGGCGAGCGGUAUUCCAGGGGGAGCGGUAAAAUGUGAUAAUCCCUGGAGGACCACCAAUGGCGAAGGCAGCUCGCUAGAAUGGAUCCGACGGUGAGGGAUGAAAGCCAGGGGAGCGAUCCGGAUUAGAUACCCGAGUAGUCCUGGCCGUAAACGCUGCAUGCCAGAUGUUGCGCAACCCCCGAGGUUGCGCAGUGUCGAAACGAAGGUGUUAAGCAUGCCACCUGGGAAGUACGGUCGCAAGGCUGAAACUUAAAGGAAUUGGCGGGGGAG
rnacentral:rRNA from 1 species